GAUGAACGCUAGCGGCAGGCCUAACACAUGCAAGUCGAGGGGUAACAUAGAAAAGCUUGCUUUUCUGAUGACGACCGGCGCACGGGUGCGUAACGCGUAUACAACCUACCUUUUAGCGGGGAAUAGCCCAGGGAAACUUGGAUUAAUGCCCCAUAGUAUAUGGACUUCUCCUGAAGUUUAUAUUAAACAUUUAUGGCUAUUAGAUGGGUAUGCGUCCUAUUAGUUAGUUGGUAAGGUAACGGCUUACCAAGGCAGCGAUAGGUAGGGGUCCUGAGAGGGAGAUCCCCACACUGGUACUGAGACACGGACCAGACUCCUACGGGAGGCAGCAGUGAGGAAUAUUGGACAAUGGGCGAGAGCCUGAUCCAGCCAUGCCGCGUGCAGGAAGACUGCCCUAUGGGUUGUAAACUGCUUUUUACAGAGGAAGAACCACCCCCACGUGUGGGGGGUUUGACGGUACUCUGCGAAUAAGGAUCGGCUAACUCCGUG
rnacentral:rRNA from 1 species